UUAUGAGGUCAACUGUGGCUUCAAUUGGAGCAGAAUCGAUACAAUUCACUAGGCACAUCCCGAAAAACUGGCCAAACAGGAUGAAGCAAACUAGAGGAAGAAGAAAACGUCAAUGAAAUUACCACCCAAUUGCCAUAGCCUACAGAAAUUUUUUGUUGUAUUCCAAUGAGUAACCAUUUGCAAUCUUUGUCCGGUCCAUCGCCCAGUCAUUCAUUCUGUCAGUCUGUCGGCUCCGCAAAAAAAAACUUAAAAUUCUUUAAAACGGUAAACUUGCGCGCCUUUUUACUUAUGCCGGCCACAACCACAUUGAAAUUGUAUUGGAAUUAAAAUCAUGACUCGAUUACCUGG